rnacentral:rRNA from 1 species
UUACAAUGCGAGCAAUCGUGAUAAGGAAACCCUGAGUGCCUGUCGAUGCAGGCUGUUCAUAUAUCUAAAUCAUAUGUGAAGAAAGGGCAGGGCAAGACCGGUGCCAGCCGCCGCGGUAAUACCGGCUGCUCGAGUGAUGGCCACUAUUACUGGGUUUAAAGCGUCCGUAGCUUGACUGUUAGGUCUCUUGGGAAAUCUUCAUGCUCAACGUGAAGGCGUCUAAGAGAUACCGGCAGUCUUGGAACUGGGAGAGGUAAACCGUACUUCGGGGGUAGGAGUGAAAUCUUGUAAUCCUCGAGGGACGACCUAUGGCGAAGGCAGUUUACCAGAACAGCUUCGACAGUGAGGGACGAAAGCUGGGGGAGCAAACGGGAUUAGAUACCCCGGUAGUCCCAGCCGUAAACAAUGUGCGUUAGGUGUGUCGGUAACCACGUGUUACUGAUGCGCCGAAGAGAAAUCGUGAAACGCACCACCUGGGAAGUACGGUCGCAAGGCUGAAACUUAAAGGAAUUGGCGGGGGAGCACCACAACAGGUGGAGCCUGCGGUUUAAUUGGAUUCAACGCCGGACAUCUCACCGGAUAAGACAGCUGAAUGAUUGUCAAUCUGAAGGUUUUACAUGACUAGCUGAGAGGAGGUGCAUGGCCGUCGUCAGUUCGUACUGUGAAGCAUCCUGUUAAGUCAGGCAACGAGCGAGACCCA